UUUCCGGUUGAUCCUGCCGGAGGCUACCGCUAUUGGAGUUCGAUUAAGCCAUGCGAGUCGCGAGUCUUAGGGACUCGGCGUACCGCUCAGUAACACGUGGGUAACCUGCCCUAUGCUGGGGGAUAACCUCGGGAAACUGAGAAUAAUACCCCAUAGUUCACCACGCCUGGAACGGUGGGUGGACCAAAGCUCCGGCGGCAUAGGAUGGGCCUGCGGCGUAUCAGGUUGUAGGGGGUGUAAGGCACCCUCUAGCCCUCUACGCGUACGGGUGUUGAGAGACAUCGCCCGGAGAUGGAUUCUGAGACACGAAUCCAGACCCUACGGGGCGCAGCGGGCGCGAAAACUUGGCAAUGCGAGAAAUCGUGACCAGGGAACUCCAAGUGCAUCGGGUAAGACCGAUGCUUUUCUUGACUCUUCAAAGGUCUUGGAAUAAGGGGUGGGUAAGGACGGUGCCAGCCGCCGCGGUAAUACCGGCGCCCCAAGUGGUAGUCGCUUUUAUUGGGCCUAAAACGUCCGUAGCCGGUCUGGUACAUUCGUGGGUAAAUCAACCAGCUCAACAGGUUGAAUUCUGCGAGCACGGCCAGACUUGGGACCGGGAGAGGUGUGGGGUACUCUCAGGGUAGGGGUAAAAUCCUGUCAUCCUGAUGGGACCACCUGUUGCGAAGGCGCCACACUAG
rnacentral:rRNA from 1 species